rnacentral:rRNA from 1 species
AUUGAACGCUGGCGGCAGGCCUAACACAUGCAAGUCGAGCGAGUGGCGGACGGGUGAGUAAUGUCUGGGAAACUGCCUGAUAGAGGGGGAUAACUACUGGAAACGGUAGCUAAUACCGCAUACCAUCGGAUGUACCCAGAUGGGAUUAGCUUGUUGGUGGGGUAAAGGCUCACCAAGGCGACGAUCCCUAGCUGGUCUGAGAGGAUGACCAGCCACACUGGAACUGAGACACGGUCCAGACUCCUACGGGAGGCAGCAGUGGUGAAUAUUGCACAAUGGGCGCAAGCCUGAUGCAGCCAUGCCGCGUGUAUGAAGAAGGCCUUCGGGUUGUAAAGUACUUUCAGCGGGGAGGCGUUACCCGCAGAAGAAGCACCGGCUAACUCCGUGCCAGCAGCCGCGGUAAUAC